AAUCAACGCUGGCGGCGUGCCUCAGACAUGCAAGUCGAACGAUUAAAGCUCUCUUCGGAGAGUGUAUAGAGUGGCGCACGGGUGAGUAACACGUAAGUAAUCUACCCUCGAGUGGGGAAUAACAACCGGAAACGGUUGCUAAUACCGCAUAAUGCAGCGGCACCGCAAGGUGACAGUUGUUAAAGAUUUAUCGCUUGAGGAGGAGCUUGCGGCAGAUUAGCUAGUUGGUAGGGUAACGGCUUACCAAGGCUACGAUCUGUAACCGGUCUAAGAGGACGGUCGGGUCACACUGACACUGAAUAACGGGUCAGACUCCUACGGGAGGCAGCAGUCGGGAAUUUUGGGCAAUGGGCGAAAGCCUGACCCAGCAACGCCGCGUGAAGGAUGAAGUAUUUCGGUAUGUAAACUUCGAAAGAAUAGGAAGAAUUAAUGACGGUACUAUUUAUAAGGUCCGGCUAACUACGUGCCAGCAGCCGCGGU
rnacentral:rRNA from 1 species